rnacentral:rRNA from 1 species
UACGUAGGGACCAAGCGUUGUUCGGAUUUACUGGGCGUAAAGGGCGCGUAGGCGGCGUGUCAAGUCAGCUGUGAAAUCUUGAGGCUUAACCUCAAGCGGUCAGCUGAUACUGAUGUGCUAGAGUGCAGAAGGGGCAAUCGGAAUUCUUGGUGUAGCGGUGAAAUGCGUAGAUAUCAAGAGGAACACCUGAGGUGAAGACGGGUUGCUGGGCUGACACUGACGCUGAUGCGCGAAAGCCAGGGGAGCAAAC